GCCUGCUUGCAGCUAACUGCAUGUUAGUUUCCUCACAAGCAGAAGGGCGGUAGCUAUACUCUCCAGGAAGCCCCUCUUGAGCCCUGCUCUCAGGACUGGAAAUGUAAGAGGGCUUCCCUGCUCCUUUCUGCCUCUGCCAGGUCCACCUGCAGAGCGCUUCUCAGCUGCUCCGCGGCCUCCACUCUGCUGCACAUGGACUGCUUCUCCUGCUCCAACUACUGGCCAGAAAGAGAAGGGAGUGCGGGGCAUCACAGCUAUAUUUGGGAACUGACCUGCCUUGUUUGCUAGCUCAUGGCUAAUCUUUAGAUAAGCCAUCCCCGUCCUGGGAAUCAACCUUUGCUCACCUGGAGAAGCUGCUGGUUCAGCCCAACUUUAUCUAAAGCCAAAGCCUCGUUUAAAGUCCCAAGCUUGAUAGCUGCAGCUCGAAGAUCGGCUACCUCUGCCUUCAGGCUGUUCUCUGAACUGGAUAGCUCCACAAUGGACUGUUCUGCCUAAAACCAAAAGGGUUAAAAUGUUUCCUGCUUUGAGUUUGCCUGGAACAGUAAACCGAACACACUCCCAAUACCUGUUUUUUA